AUUGAACGCUGGCGGCGUGCCUUACACAUGCAAGUCGAACGGUAACAGAUCUUCGGAUGCUGACGAGUGGCGAACGGGUGAGUAAUACAUCGGAACGUGCCUAGUAGUGGGGGAUAACUACUCGAAAGAGUGGCUAAUACCGCAUGAGACCUACGGAUGAAAGCAGGGGAUCGCAAGACCUUGUGCUACUAGAGCGGCCGAUGGCAGAUUAGGUAGUUGGUGGGAUAAAAGCUUACCAAGCCGACGAUCUGUAGCUGGUCUGAGAGGACGAUCAGCCACACGGGGACUGAGACACGGCCCAGACUCCUACGGGAGGCAGCAGUGGGGAAUUUUGGACAAUGGGCGCAAGCCUGAUCCAGCAAUGCCGCGUGCAGGAUGAAGGCCUUCGGGUUGUAAACUGCUUUUGUACGGAACGAAAAGCCCUGGGUUAAUACCCUGGGGUCAUGACGGUACCGUAAGAAUAAGCACCGGCUAACUACGUGCCAGCCGCCGCAGUAAAAC
rnacentral:rRNA from 1 species